GAUGAACGCUGGCGGCGUGCCUAAUACAUGCAAGUCGAGCGAACAGACGAGGAGCUUGCUCCUCUGAUGUUAGCGGCGGACGGGUGAGUAACACGUGGAUAACCUACCUAUAAGACUGGGAUAACUUCGGGAAACCGGAGCUAAUACCGGAUAACAUGUUGAACCGCAUGGUUCAACAGUGAAAGACGGUCUUGCUGUCACUUAUAGACUGAUCCGCGCCUCAUUAGCUAGUUGGUAAGGUAACGGCUUUCCAAGGCAACGAUGCGUAGCCGACCUGAGAGGGUGAUCGGCCACACUGGAACUGAGACACGGUCCAGACUCCUACGGGAGGCCGCAGUAGGGAAUCUUCCGCAAUGGGCGCAAGCCUGACGGAGCAACGCCGCGUGAGUGAAGAAGGUCUUCGGAUCGUAAAACUCUGUUAUUAGGGAAGAACAAAUGUGUAAGUAACUAUGCACGUCUUGACGGUACCUUAUCAGAAAGCCACGGCUAACUACGUG
rnacentral:rRNA from 1 species